CAGCUCUAUAGUAUUCUUAUAUUUCCUUACGCCUGACAGCAGAGAUUUAUAAUGCAAAUCCCUUCUUCCUUUUGUAGGAUUGUCAGUGGGGCUGAUUGUAUUUCCUAUAGUAGACAUGUGUGUGCAUCCAGCUCUGGUGCUGAGCAGUGAGCAGGCUGGCAGCAGACACUUGGGCAUCAGAGGCAGCAUGGCAUUCUCCUCCAUCCUGUGAUGCUCCUGUGGCCAGGGCAUGCUUCUCAACUUCCCCCUGACUCCAUCCCUCCCCCCUACAGAGUAGGAUGUCUACACAGUGUCCCAGGCAGCUGAUCUGAGCCAAGUGUGGAGAGUCCUGGCAUUGAGCUCUAUCUGCUGGAUGUUUACUUCUUGUCAUCCAUUCCUCUCCACUGCUCCAUCUCCCUGUCUGUCCUCUCCCACCUCCUAUCCUCCAGCCUUAAUGUGGACAUCAUUGCUAAUUGUAAGCCCCCCAACCCUGUAAGAUCUGCUCCCCCUCCCAGUCUCCUCACCUCCUCUUUUUUCUCCUUCCAUCCUGCUAACGUCUGACUUUUGGUGGGGAGAAGAAAAGUGUGUGGGGGGGCUGCUCUUGUCACAUCCCUCAUCCACCAUCCCCAUCAUCCUGUGAGCCUUCAUCAUCACCACCAUCAUCACCACACAAGUGAAGAAGAGGAGGGGAGGAGAAGGAGGCACAUCAGGGUUAUUGGUAGAGGAGGAGGAGGAGGAAGGAGAGAGAGCCUUACACCUGAUCACAUCCCAGGAAGAGACAGAGCACUGAGGUAAAGGACAAGUUCUUCCCCAGCUCCUGGGUACAGAAGGAUUGUGUGACUGGACACCUAGGGAAGAAGAAGUCCUCUGCUGUGGGAUUGCUGCCGGGAGAAGAAAAUGCUGCCAUCCAGGUCUGCUGCUGCUGCUGCUGCACUGCCCUCCUCUAGCACUGGAUGUUCUUGGGCUCUGGGAUCUGGAUUUGGCUCCUAUUUAACCCUUUGGAUAUGGCUUAUUACCUGCUGCUGCUGCUACUUCUCGGAGACCUUGGCCAGCCCAAGUAAUGAAGUGAAUUUACUGGAUUCACGGUCGGUCAUGGGUGACCUUGGAUGGAUAGCAUACCCAAAAAACGGGUGGGAAGAAAUUGGGGAGGUUGAUGAAAACUAUGCUCCGAUACAUACAUAUCAAGUAUGCAAAGUGAUGGAACAGAAUCAGAACAACUGGCUCUUGACAAGUUGGAUUUCAAAUGAAGGAGCGUCAAGAAUCUUCAUUGAGCUUAAAUUUACCCUACGGGACUGCAACAGUCUUCCAGGAGGGCUUGGUACCUGUAAAGAAACUUUUAAUGUCUAUUAUUUUGAAUCAAAUGAAGAAGAUGGAAGGAAUAUAAGGGAAAAUCAGUAUAUUAAGAUUGACACUAUUGCUGCUGAUGAGAGCUUCACAGAGUUGGAUUUGGGGGAUAGAGUCAUGAAGCUAAACACAGAGGUGAGAGAUGUUGGACCAUUGAUCAAGAAAGGUUUCUACCUUGCUUUUCAAGAUGUUGGAGCAUGUAUUGCCCUAGUAUCUGUUCGUGUGUACUACAAGAAAUGCCCCUCAGUGGUACGUAACUUAGCACUUUUCCAAGAUACUAUUACUGGAGCAGAUUCAUCGCAGCUUUUGGAAGUAUCUGGAGUGUGUGUCAACUAUUCAGUGACAGAAGAAGCCCCAAAAAUGCACUGCAGUGCUGAAGGGGAAUGGCUUGUUCCAAUUGGAAAAUGUAUGUGUAAAGAGGGCUAUGAAGAAAAGAAUAAUACCUGUCAAGCAUGUCGUCCGGGAUUUUUCAAGUCUUCUCCUCAGAGUCAGACAUGCAGUAAGUGCCCACCCCACAGCUAUGCCCAUGAGGAAGCGUCAACAUCUUGUGUCUGUGAAGAGCGCUAUUAUAGGAGAGAGUCUGAUCCACAUCAGAUGGCAUGUACAAGACCGCCAUCAGCUCCACGCAAUGCCAUUUCCAACAUCAAUGAAACUAGUGUCUUCUUAGAAUGGAUGUUUCCAGCAGACACUGGAGGAAGGAAAGAUGUAUACUAUAAUAUUGUAUGCAAGAAAUGUAAUUCCAUUGCCAGAGUGUGCGAGGAGUGUGGAAUUCAUGUUCGCUACAUACCUCAGCAAAGCGGCCUCAGAAACACAUCUGUGAUGGUAAUAGAUCUCCAGGCUCAUACAAAUUACACCUUUGAGAUUGUGGCUGAAAAUGGUGUGUCUGACUUGAGUCCUGGAUCAAGGCAGUAUGUCGAAGUGAAUGUCACAACUAACCAGGCUGCCCCGUCUCCAGUCACUCAUGUGAAGAAAGGAAAAAUUUCCAGAAAUAGCAUUUCCUUGUCUUGGCAGGAACCAGAGCGGCCCAACGGUAUCAUCCUGGAAUAUGAGAUCAAAUACUUUGAAAAGGACCAGGAAACUAGUUACACAAUCAUCAAGUCCAAAGAAACAGAAAUCACAGCAGAGGGACUGAAGCCAGCAUCAUCCUACAUAUUCCAGAUCCGAGCACGCACGGCCGCAGGGUACGGGGCCUUCAGUCGUAGAUUUGAGUUUGAAACCAGCCCAGUGUCAUUUGCAGCAACUGGGGAUCAGAGUCAGAUUCCUAUUAUAGCUGUGUCGGUCACCGUGGGAAUUAUUCUUCUGGCUGGAAUAGUUGGUUUUCUUCUCAGUGGAAGACGAUGUGGCUACAGCAAAGCUAAACAAGAUCCAGAAGAGGAAAAGAUGCAUUUUCACAAUGGACACAUCUUCUGUUCCACUACAGUUAAGCUUCCAGGAAUAAAGACAUACAUUGACCCUCAUACCUAUGAGGACCCAAGCCAGGCAGUGCAUGAAUUUGCCAAAGAAAUCGAUGCUUCCAGUAUAACUAUUGAACGAGUUAUUGGAGCAGGUGAAUUUGGAGAAGUUUGCAGCGGCCGCAUUAAACUUCCAGGCAAAAGGGAGUUUCCUGUCGCUAUUAAGACUCUCAAAGUUGGAUACACUGACAAACAGAGGCGGGACUUCUUGGGUGAAGCCAGUAUAAUGGGACAGUUUGACCAUCCAAACAUCAUCCACUUGGAGGGAGUUGUCACAAAAAGCAAACCUGUAAUGAUUGUAACAGAAUACAUGGAAAAUGGCUCUUUGGAUACAUUCCUGAAGAAAAACGAUGGCCAGUUCACUGUCAUUCAGCUAGUGGGUAUGCUGAGGGGCAUUGCAUCUGGAAUGAAGUACCUUUCAGACAUGGGCUACGUACACAGAGACCUUGCAGCAAGGAAUAUACUCAUAAAUAGCAAUCUGGUCUGCAAAGUUUCCGACUUUGGUUUAUCCCGUGUUCUUGAAGAUGAUCCUGAAGCUGCAUAUACUACUAGAGGAGGAAAAAUACCAAUUCGAUGGACUGCCCCUGAAGCCAUUGCUUUCCGUAAGUUCACUUCUGCAAGUGAUGUGUGGAGCUAUGGAAUCGUGAUGUGGGAAGUCAUGUCAUACGGAGAGAGACCUUACUGGGAAAUGACAAACCAAGAUGUAAUUAAAGCUGUUGAGGAAGGUUACCGGUUGCCAAGUCCCAUGGAUUGCCCGGCUGCUCUUUAUCAGCUCAUGCUGGAUUGCUGGCAGAAAGACCGCAACAGCAGGCCCAAGUUUGAAGAGAUUGUCAGUAUGUUGGACAAGUUGAUCCGUAACCCAAGCAGCUUGAAGACACUUGUUAAUUCAUCUAACAGGGUAUCAAAUUUACUGAUUGAACAAAAUACAGUUGGAAGUGCAACAUACAGAUCAGUAAAUGAGUGGCUAGAGGCAAUAAAGAUGGGAAGGUAUGCUGAUACGUUUUUGGAGAAUGGAUACACUUCAAUGGAAGCAGUAACCCAAAUGACUUUGGACACCUAAAAUAUUCCCUGUCAUUUCUUCCCAAAUCACAUCAUAGGUUUUCUAUCAACCUCAUUGCUUUUUAUUUUUGCUCAUAGAUUAGUUUUAUUGCUUAGCUAAUCAAAUAUUAUGUAAUAAAAACUUUGUAAUGUUUGUACAAUGCAAUGCAGAUUUAUAUAAUUAUUAGAUUGACAAUUUUAAUUUUGAAUAUCACAAGAAAUAUUCCGAACAUCUCUUGACUUUGUUGGUAUUUUUCAUCAAACACAUUUAUGGCAUAUUGCUUGAACAUGUUGGAUAGGGUUUAACUGAUGGAUGCCCAUGAUCCUGUGAAUGGUACUUUUAGGAACUACUGUUUAUAUUUAAGGCAUAGCCAAUAAACUCCCUUAUGCUAUGUUUCACCUAUAUUUCAAUUUUCAAUCUGAACUUUUAUUCCAACCUUAAGAACCAUAUUUUUUUUAAUUUUUCUGUCAACAUACAAAGCCGCUACAUCCAUCUAUUAUGACCUGUUUCCAUGUGUCUGUUGAAUUGAUGCAUCCCCACAGCAUGAUGUUGCUACCACCUUCUUCUACUGGGGAAUGGUGUGCGCAGGGUGAUGACCAGCGCACCUUUUUCCACAUGUUUUCUGUGUCAUGGCUUGUGGAAAACUCCACACGGGAUUUCAUUUGGCUUCUUUUCAACAAUGGCUCUCUUAUUGACACUCUUCCAUAAAGCCUAGAUUUCUGGAGUACAUGACUAAUAGUUGUCAUGUGGACAGAUUCUUCCACCUUAGUUGUGGAUCUAUGCAGCUCCUCCAGAGUUAACAUGGGCCUCUUGGCUGCUUCUCUAAAUCAUUUUUCCUGCUUUGCUUGUUAGUGUGGGUGGACGGCCUGGUCUUGGUAGGUUUUCAGUUUCUUUCCAUUUCCUGAUGAUGGAUUUUAUGGAGCUCUGGAAGAUGUUUAGAGCUUCUGAUAUAUAUUUUUAUUACAUAAUCCUGCUUUGUACUUCUCCCCAACUUUAUCCCUCGCCUGUAUGGUUAGCUCCUUGUACUUCUUGCUGCUGUUUGUUCAGUAAUGGUCUUUAACGAAUGCUGAGGCCAUCACAAAAUAGGUGUACUUGUACUGAGCUUAAUUCCUGGAGGAUACUGGACUUACCUGUAUACCCUGGCUACCUGGUACUUGGCACACCAGGACGUACAUGUACUAGUGUGUACUGUUAUGCAACUAGUGCAGGAGCUGCCGUCUCUUCAUAGACCACUGAUAGCAGUUGGGGACUUGCCGCUAAUGGCGGACAUUAGUGAUUAUGUUGAUGCCUGAUAUUAACUUUUGAGAUGUCAUGAUCAAUACUGAUUACAGUUCUGAAGUAUAAUUUGGUUUUUGAGAGACUCAUGGGACCACCCGUGGUGCAAUUACAGGGGUCUGAUGAGCCAAGAUGGCAGCCAGAGCUCCUCUCUCCUGAAGUAGAUAAUCAAUUACACUGAUCAGUGCUAUGCAUAUGUAUAGCACUGAAAAGUAUCAGCAAUAAAAUAUUGCUACAAAUAGUGGGGCCUUUAAAAUGUUAAAAAAAGGGGAAAACUAGAUAAUUUUAAUAAAAAUUAAUAAGUCUCUUCCCUCAUAAAAUAAUUUAAAAUAAUAAUCGCCCUGUUGCCUCGUUUUACAAAUAAAAAAGUAAAAAAACAUUAAAGACAAACAAAAAUAUUAGGCAUCACCAUGUACGUGAAUGUCUAAACUAUUAAAAUAUAAUGUUAAUGAUCCCAUGCAUUGAAAAGCGUAAAUGUAAAGAAAAAAUACUAAAGACGCUGUGAUCAAUGCGGGUCACGGCUUCUAAAGUGGACCUAAAAAUCGUGCAGGCCAGAAGAAGCGCCCCUGUGCAUGAAACUAGUUGCCGCCCCCUUCAUGCCCCCUGCCUGUUCCAUCACAAGCUCCCUGUGUACCUGUGUGUUUGUCAUGCUGCAAACCAACUGAAGCCUGAAUACUGCUGAUGAUUUUCUGAGAUCUGAGGAGAUUCGGAGUGACUCUAGCUGGUCAUCAGAAGAAGAUAAUGAAUAGCAUCCAAGAAAUGAGAGCCCAGUUAUUAAACGGAAUGGUGCCAUUGUAAUUGUGCCAUUCUACAACCAAGCAAGUCUGCACUUUGUAACCUGCCCAGUGAUUUAUAGACAUAGAGAAACCUGAAAUGAAAAAGGGAAGUAUACUGCUAUGGAAAACUGAAAACGACACAAUGAACAUAUAGCAGAUAACUCAAAAAUCAGUAUUUGACUCAAACUUCCAUUUAUUUUUUAUUCUGUUUUUGUCUUUGUUCGUCAUAUGUAAUUGCAACUUGCAUGGGACCUGGAGCUGGAUGUAGAGGUGUAAAGUAAGGUUAGCCUGUUCUUUGGCUUCUGUAACGAAGGACUUCCCAUGAUGCUUUGUACAGGAAUUGUAUAUAUAUAUAGCAUCUUGAUAGUGCUUUUAUUGUAGCAGCACGCUAAAUACUUCCAAGGACUUACUUGAAUGGAUCAUUUAAGAUGUUUUUGUAGCCCUGUAUGGCCUAGAACAAAAAGCUGCAGUUUACUGACGUUUACUAAGUCUCCAUUGUCUACAAAGUUGUAUUGAAGAGCAAUAUGUCUAGAGUUUCUUGAUAGAUAUCUUUUUGUUUGUUUGUUUUGUUUUUGUAAAUUGAAAAAAUGCUGUUACACAGCAUUAAGGUAUGGAAGCAUAUGUACAAACAAAUUGCUUGAUCAAUUGCAAAUACAAUAUAUUUAUUUUUUCUGUU